rnacentral:rRNA from 1 species
GAUGAACGCUAGCUACAGGCUUAACACAUGCAAGUCGAGGGGCAGCAUGAUUGAGCUUGCCUCAAUCCAUGGCCACCGGCGCACGGGGGAGUAACACGUAACCCACCCGCCGAUAACUCGGGGAUAGCCUUUCGAAAGAAAGAUUAAUACCCGAUAGUAUAGUAUUUCCGCAUGGUUUCACUAUUAAAGAACUUCGGUUAUCGAUGGGGAUGCGUUCCAUUAGAUAGUUGGCGGGGUAACGGCCCACCAAGUCAACGAUGGAUAGGGGUUCUGAGAGGAAGCUCCCCCACAUCUGAACUGAGACACGGUCCAAACUCCGACGCGAGGCAGGAGUAUGGUAUACUAGGCAAUGGACGAUAGUCUGAACCAGCCGAGUAGCGUGAAGGAUGACUGGCCUAUGAGUUGUAAACUUCUUUUAAACGGGAAUAAAGUGGGGUAUGCAUACUCCUUUGUAGGUACCGUAUGAAUAAGGAUCGGCUAACUCCGUG